GCAGUUAUAAAGGUCGGUGCUGCAACGGAGACAGAACUCGAAGACCGCAAGCUCAGAAUUGAGGAUGCCAAGAAUGCCACUUUUGCUGCUAUAGAGGAAGGCAUAGUUCCUGGUGGAGGUGCUGCGCUGGUUCACCUCUCUACCACUGUACCUGCCAUCAAAGACAAGAUUGAAGAUGCAGAUGAGCGCAUUGGAGCUGACAUUGUGCAAAAAGUAAGUCAUGGUAUUAUUACAUUCAAGCUUCUCCUACAGAUUCAUCAAAUUCCAAUCAUCAUCUGUGGACCAGACUUCAAGUAUUUUCUUUCAUAAUUUAGACUAAUUUGCGAUUGUACAGGCACUGGUGGCACCUGCGGCUUUGAUUGCAGACAAUGCAGGUGUAGAAGGGGAAGUUGUGGUAGAGAAAAUUAAGGACAGCGAAUGGGAGAUUGGUUACAAUGCCAUGACCGACAAGUACGAAAAUCUAGUGGAAGCUG
rnacentral:lncRNA from 1 species